UCAGGCUCUUUGAGUGCUUGCUUCAGUACUAGUGGCACACAUGCUUAGUCGCUCCGCAGCAUGUAGGAUCUUCCUGGACCAGGGAUGGAACCUGUGUCCCCUGCACUGGCAGAUGGUCUCUUAACCACUGGACCACCAGGGA